rnacentral:rRNA from 1 species
GUGACAGCAGCCGCGGUAAGACGGAGGGUGCAAACGUUGUUCGGAAUUACUGGGCGUAAAGCGCGUGUAGGCGGUCCGAAAAGUCGGGUGUGAAAUCCCUCGGCUCAACCGAGUGAAUUGCAUUCGAUACUGCCGGACUGGAGUUCGGGAGAGGGACGUGGAAUUCCCGGUGUAGAGGUGAAAUUCGUAGAUAUCUGGAGGAAUACCGGUGGCGAAGGCGGCAUCCUGGACCGGCAUUGACGCUGAGGAGCGAAAGCUAGGGGAGCAAACGGGAUUAGAAACCCCCGUAGUCC